GCUGGUAGGCAGCAUGGAGGGUAAUUUGGAUGGGACUAAACGGGAGACAGGGAGACCAGCUGGGAAGCAGGUGCUACCAUACAGACUUGCUGUUUAGAACUGGAACCAGAAUGUUUUGAAUCAAAGCUCACCUCUGACCCCUCCCAGUCCCUCAUCUCCAUGUGCUAAAGCCCGUGCUCGACAAGAAAAGCCACCACAAUGAGAAGCCCGUGCACUGCAACGAAGAGUAGUCCACACUCGCUACAACUAGAGAGAGCCUGUGCGCGCAACGAAGACCCAACACAGCC